AGAGUUUGAUCAUGGCUCAGAAUCAACGCUGGCGGCGUGCCUAACACAUGCAAGUCGAACGAGAAAGUGGAGCAAUCCAUGAGUAAAGUGGCGACCGGGUGAGUAACACGUGACUAAUCUACCCUUGAGUGGGGAAUAACCUUCCGAAAGGAGGGCUAAUACCGCAUAAAGUCCAGAGGCUGAAAUGCCAUUGGACCAAAGGAGUAAUUCGCUUAAGGAGGAGGUCGCGGUUGAUUAGCUAGUUGGUGGGGUAAUGGCCCACCAAGGCGAUGAUCAAUAGCCGGCCUGAGAGGGCGCACGGCCACACUGGAACUGAAACACGGUCCAGACUCCUACGGGAGGCAGCAGUGGGGAAUUUUGCGCAAUGGGGGAAACCCUGACGCAGCAACGCCGCGUGAAGGAUGAAGGUCUUUGGAUUGUAAACUUCUUUCGUCCGGGAAGAUAAUGACGGUACCGGAAUAAGAGGCCCCGGCUAACUUCGUGCCAGCAGCCGCGGUAAUACGAAGGGGGCGAGCGUUGUUCGGAAUUAUUGGGCGUAAAGGGAGCGUAGGCGGUUCGAUAAGUCACUUGUGAAAUCUCUGGGCUCAACUCAGAGUCUGCAAGCGAAACUGUCGGGCUUGAGUAUGGGAGAGGUGAGUGGAAUUCCUGGUGUAGCGGUGAAAUGCGUAGAUAUCAGGAGGAACACCUGUGGCGAAAGCGGCUCACUGGACCAUUACUGACGCUGAUGCUCGAAAGCUAGGGGAGCAAACAGGAUUAGAUACCCUAGUAGUCC
rnacentral:rRNA from 1 species